rnacentral:rRNA from 1 species
AUUGAACGCUGGCGGCAGGCCUAACACAUGCAAGUCGAACGAGGGGCGGACGGGUGAGUAAUGGCCGGGAAACCGCCUGGUGGAGGGGGAUAACUACUGGAAACGGUAGCUAAUACCGCCUACCAUCAAAUUUGCCCCGAUGGGAUUAGCUUGGUGGUGGGGUAACGGCUCACCAAGGCGACGAUCCCUAGCUGGUCUGAGAGGAUGACCAGCCACACUGGAACUGAGACACGGUCCAGACUCCUACGGGAGGCAGCAGUGGGGAAUAUUGCACAAUGGGCGCAAGCCUGAUGCAGCCAUGCCGCGUGUAUGAAGAAGGCCUUCGGGUUGUAAAGUACUUUCAGCGGGGAGGCGUUACCCGCAGAAGAAGCACCGGCUAACUCCGUGCCAGCCGCCGCGGUAAUAC